rnacentral:rRNA from 1 species
UACGUAGGGGGGCGAGCGUUGUCCGGAAUCAUUGGGCGUAAAGCGCGUGUAGGCGGCUUGAUAAGUCUGGUGUGAAAUCUUGGGGCUCAACCCCAAGCCUGCACUGGAUACUGUCAAGCUUGAGUCCGGGAGGGGAGAGCGGAAUUCCUAGUGUAGCGGUGAAAUGCGCAGAUAUUAGGAAGAACACCGGUGGCGAAGGCGGCUCUCUGGAACGGUACUGACGCUGAGACGCGAAAGCGUGGGGAGCGAACAGG